rnacentral:lncRNA from 1 species
AGCCUGAGUCCAUCAAAGUGCAGUACCGAUUAAUGCAGAAGUGGAAUCUGUUUCAAAAUCUGGUUUCAGUUUCAUUUAAUUUGUACCGUGUGGAAAAUCGAAUUCUGGAUGUGUUGAAUUGUUGCGAUAGUGUGAUAGGCAUGCCAUAUGAAUAGUGAUUUGUCUAAGACAAUCAUUCAUGAUGCACCACACUGCAGAUACAAAAUUCACUAAUUCAAGCAGACAGAGCCGAGCUGCAAUUUCUUUGUGUGUCUUUUGUCUAUGAUUUUGCAAUUUUUAAAUCUGUCCAACUUAGACUUCGUAUCUGGACCUCUUUAAAACCAAUUCUAGAGUCUUUUUCAAGUUUAAAUUGCUAUCCUAGAGUCACAAAAAUUGUUUCCAGUUCAAUUUGAAUCCUCUGUUGAAUUUUGGUUGGUGAUUUGGCUUAAUUUUGGUGCUUAAGAGCAACUAAACUAGUGAAAUUCUGAGUUACAAGUUUGUAGCCUCUGCUGGCAGUUGGAACAAGUCAUAAUUGGUCAAACAAAGUUGCUCAAAUCAUAAAAUUAAGUGUCCAAACCUGUUUGUGCAAAUUUGACACUUAAACCACCAAUUUUGGUGUUAAAGAGUAACUCAUACAGUGAAAUUUUUAGUUACAAGUGUAUAGUCUCGGCUGGCAGCUGAUACAAGUUCCAUUUGAUAAAACAAAGUUGCUCAAGUCAUAAAAUUAAGUGUUCAAGCUUGUUUGUGCAAAAUUGCUAAUUAAACCACCAAUUUUCAACACUUUUUCUACUAUAAGUUGCAUAUUUCUGGUUUUGAUUGUUGAAGUGAUUUAUGCACCGAAUUUUAUUUUAAAUUGGUAGCAAAAUCUUGGUUCAAUUGCUUAAAAAGAUGUGUACAAUUCAGAUUUAACAAAAGACUGUAUAGUAAAAAGCUGUGUGAACCAGUGCCAAGUCAUUUUCAAAUCUGGUGCAUCCUUCACAGAAUUUCUCUAAGACAUUUUAUCAAACACCUUUGCCUAGUUUAAAAUUGUGUUCGAAUUGGCAAAACCUGCAACUUACAUUUGUUUCUUGCUUUGUUAAUCCACUCUAGAACCAUUCCUAAGUUCACUUUGAGUGCCACCUUCCUUUAAAAACCGUUUAAUUGAUUGCUUUUCAUUGCUUGGAACUCCGCACAUAAGCUGUUUGAAAAUAUGACAGCAGUGCUUCUGGUUUAGCAGAUUUAUAUAGCAAGCAGCAGAUAACUGUGCGGUUUUAUAAUCAAAUUGUGGUGGUUUCUUUGAGUAUUAUACUGGUGCAGAGACUAGCUACAGUUGUCCUUUUCAUUGGUGGCAUCUUAGGAAGAAGUUUGAGAGAGGAGAAGUCUAGGUGGAGAGCUAUUUUUUUCGGUGCAGAAUUCACGUGAAACUUCAUUCUGCAAAUCUGCAGAAUGCUUCCAGCAUAGUGCAACUCCACCCGCAGCUGAGAGCUUUGCAUAAUGUUCUUUGAUUCUUAUUUCUAAAGAGAAACCAAAGCUGCAAAGUCCAAUACCUUUUUCUUCUGUUUUGUUUUCCAGUUUGUGAAAAUUUUGAAUCAACUUCCAGAUACUGUUUUAACUGCAACCUUUCUAAAAUGAGUUUUGGAACUAAAUUGCUUAACUGAUUUGUUUUUAAAAAUCAUUUGGUGCACUGAUUUGAAUGUAAAAAGUUGGUCAAGAACAGAUUGCCUCAGAUUUCCGUAAGGUACUAUUGAACCAAUUGGAUUAAGUUCCAAAUUUUCUUUCAACUUUGGAAGCAAUCUAUCUUCAAUUCAAUCUGCAUUAAAUCAGUUUAUCCAAAAGUGGUUCCUGCACUUUCCUUUUUAGUCUUAAUGCUGAUUAACUGUGCUGGUACUCAAUUAGCACUUGUAGCCUUUGUUGUUUGAUGUGUUGUAGUUAUAAUUUCAAAAGCAAGGAACCAUUGGCUGCAACAGUGGAAAUUGUGGAGAUUUUCAACACGACACAAAAGAAAAACAGCCGCAACACUGCAGCAGUUGAAAAUUGGAUCCAACCUCCACAUCAAUUGCAGUAAGACCGAAAGAGGAGUUGAAGAAUCUGCAACAAUUUCAAACAGUCACAGCCACUACAGACUUCUUCAUUUGGCUGGGAAAGCAACACCACAACUGCACCCAAAUUUAGAGAAAAGUAGUGGUGAAUCAGAUUUCAAAAGACAAGUGAUUCCAGCAGUUAGAAAUGGUCAAAACUGUUCAAAAACAACAAGUUGAGCAUGGAAAAUUUCUCCAAGAAUUGGACCAGAACAUGGCAGAUUUUCCUUUGUAAUUGUUUUGUUCAUUUUGGUUAGGUUUUCUGUGUUAGAUUUCUUUAAAUUGUAAAAGGCCAUUCAAAGUCCAAGUUGUCUUGGAAGAGUCCUUGGUGCUCUUUCAACUCUUGGCAAAACUUUUCUUGUGUGUUUAAAUUUGUGUUACCCGUUUAGGAGUUAUCAUUAGAAGUCCGCGNN